CCAGUCUCCAGCAAGUCCCCGCUUCGAGGCUCAUCGCUACACUAUGAAGGCUUUCGUGUUUGCGCUGCUGCUGUUGGCCGCUGUGGCGACCGCGCUGGCGGGCCCGCUGCCGCUGCCUGUGCCCGUGGCCUUCCCGGCUGAGGCCCGCGAGACGCUGCGCCCCAGCGAGCAGCUCUACUACUACGGCUACCCCUACUACGUGGUGGGCUAGGCGCCCGCUGCACCUCGACUCACGGCUUCCACGACCAUCGGCUUCGCUUGCACCUCUCCAUCCCCCACUGGUCAAUAAACUCUCUCUCUUAGCAA